CACUGGGAGCUCCUUGAAGGUGGGGGCCUGGGUUUGGUUCAUCUCUAUGCCCCCCCUCAGUGCUAAGAGCAGAGUGGGUGCUCCUGAAAGACGUCUUGAGUUCUCAGGUGAUGGAUGGCCAUUCAACAUAGCAGAGGAGCUGUCCGAUGUGGGGGAAAUAAAACUGGUUUUGCUAAAGGGACACGUGGAAUGAAGUGAGAUACUCAUAGAGUCCCAGGAUGCUGAGAAGUGUGGCCACACUGAGGGUACGGGCUGGCCAGCCGUGGGAGGAUCUGACCCCACAUGAAUACAAGCUCUUGGCCGCACC